rnacentral:rRNA from 1 species
GACGAACGCUGGCGGCGUGCUUAACACAUGCAAGUCGAACGAAGUGGCGCACGGGUGAGUAACGCGUAAUCAACCUGCACUACAGAGGGGGAUCACAGUUGGAAACGACUGCUAAUAGCGCAUACUGACGGAGGGGUUUCCGGUGGAUUAGCUAGUUGGAGGGGUAACGGCCCACCAAGGCGAUGAUUAGUAGCCGGUCUGGGAGGAGGAACGGCCACAUUGGGACUUAGACACGGCCCAGACCCCUACGGGAGGCAGCAGUGGGGAAUCUUCCGCAAUGGACGAAAGUCUGACGAGGCAACGCCGGGUGAGGGAUGACGGCCUUCGGGUUGUAAAGCUCUGGUAGUCGGGACGCGGUACCGGAAUAGAAAGCCACGGCUAACUACGUGCCAGCCGCCGCGGUAAUUC